rnacentral:tRNA from 1 species
GCCGGAGCAGCUCUCGCGGUGCUUCUCAUCUCUUGGUCGCAGGUUCGAUUCCUGCCGGGGGCACCA